UACGUAGGGACCAAGCGUUGUUCGGAUUUACUGGGCGUAAAGGGCGCGUAGGCGGCGCGGUAAGUCACUUGUGAAAUCUCUGAGCUUAACUCAGAACGGCCAAGUGAUACUGCAGUGCUAGAGUGUGGAAGGGGCAAUCGGAAUUCUUGGUGUAGCGGUGAAAUGCGUAGAUAUCAAGAGGAACACCUGAGGUGAAGACGGGUUGCUGGACCAACACUGACGCUGAUGCGCGAAAGCCAGGGGAGCAAACGGG
rnacentral:rRNA from 1 species